AGGUCAUAAUGACCUCCAUUCCUGUUGGACAUCCUGCUAUUUGUGGGUUAGACUUGGACUUCGGCCACAUUUAAUAGCCCCUCCUGGAUCACCCCCCUUAGACAAGGUCAGCCUGAGCCUGCUUUGGGCAUACCCUGGGGAAGAUAUGGAUUCCUGCAAUGUUUUGGACUGUGAGUACAUCAGGAUGAAGAGUCUGUGUUGGUGUUUGUGGUGUACAGGCUUCUGAUUCAGGUAUUCCUGCUGUGUUACACAAUAGCUGUCUCAUGCAGCAAGCACUAGAGAACUACAGCAGAUGAAGUGCUUGGUGACAUGAAGGAACAAGCAGAUCUAUGAACAGUGGAAACAAUACAACAAGUUUUCCGACGUAUUUGUGCCACCUAGUAGUCUCCUUUAACAUCUAACAGCAUGAGUGGGGAAUCAAAUCUUCUGCCACUGCUGGGAUACUCACAGCAUCGCUCCACUGGGCAUAAUAUGGUGUCUAAUAAAGAAUUAACAGAACAGCUUGCUUCUCAGUUGGGUGCACACAUAAGCUGCAUCUACACUACUAAAUUAAACAAUACUAGGGAACGUUUCCAAGCACUGGAACUUGAUCAACUAUUCAGUUAAAUUGUGAGAAUACUAGCUGGCAUGGUUCUGACCAGAGAAAACUAGCACUUUCUUAAACAGUUCCCAGGAACUACUUAAAAGUUAGAAAAUGCCAAGGCCCAUCAAAAUAGGCAUUUGGACAUGGCCACCCUUCUUGGAAGGGUAAGAGAGUUUAAUAGUACGGAAUCUUUGUUUGGUGCCAGUUGGCUUCAGGAGCACAGAACAGUACUAGGCAUGUUUAGCUCGCUACUAUAGAUGUAGCCAUAGCCUAUUUUUGCUCCACCCAGUUUCUGAUUUUCAUAACAGUUGUGGGAAUAAAAUGUCUUUGAAAUGACCCAGGGUUUUUUUUGUUUGUUUUGUUUUUCUUUAAUGUUGGAUUGAACUGACUGACAGAACGAUGCACACCCACAUCCGUAAGCAUCUACCUACCAGCAUACACACACACCCAUAUGUACACAUAGAACAUGACCAUGCAUAUACACCUGUACAUACACAUACUUAAAUACAUAUAUGCAAUUAAAGAACUGGAGCAUGUAAAUAUCAUUUCUUCAGUAUAAUGUCUUGCAAAAAUUUACAAAAUCUUGCCACAGCUCCCUCGAGAUAUACGUUUGAGGAGAAUUUCCC